AAGGUAAGGAUUUUUAUUGGUUGCAGUAGAAACUCGCUGCAUCCAAUCAAAAAGCGCCUAUAACAUGAUCACGUGUAAAUGUAGAAAGUGUUUGUAAACAAUUGCCACGUGUUUAUUGUGCAACAAGUCUUUACAUCACUAAACAUACGACUAUAUUUAGUGACAACUUGAAUGUUUUUAAUCAACAAAUAGAAGUUCCUGUGUAUGUUUCAUGCACAAAUGCAUGGAUGUUGACGUAUAUUUUCGUUUCCGGCUUUACCAAGUGGGUAGACUCUAGACACUACCGUGUUUUCACCUCCAAAUUGAAGAGUUCAAGUGCUACCAUUGGUCAAGAAUAAUGUAUUCGGAAUGGGCGUGACUUUAAUCUUCCGAUAGAUGGCGCGACAUUGAUAUCACAAAUGUUGGCUCAAUCUGCCAAGGGUGAAGAGAG
rnacentral:lncRNA from 1 species